CGGUGUAGCUCAGUUGGCUAGAGCAGCUGAUUUGUAAUCAGCAGGCCACGGGUUCGAAUCCUGUCACCG
rnacentral:tRNA from 1 species